CUAAGGCGAGGCCGAAAGGCGUAGUCGAUGCACAUACGGUUGAAAUUCCGUAGCCGCCGAAAUUGUUAAGCACAGGGACACAUAGAGAUAUCCGAACCCGGGCGUUGGUUGACCCGGGCGCAAGGGACCGAACAUCAGUAGGGAAGUCGGAGAUGCUCUGUGGCGAGAAAAGCUGUGUGUAUUGAUUAGGCGCCCGUACCGCAAACCGACACAGGUAGAUGAGGAGAGAAUCCUAAGGCCAACGGGAGAAGGGUUGUUAAGGAACUCGGCAAAUUGACCCCGUAACUUCGGGAUAAGGGGAGCCUCCUACGGGAGGCCGCAGUGAAUAGGCCCAAGCAACUGUUUACCAAAAACACAGGUCUCUGCUAAAUCGAAAGAUGACGUAUAGGGGCUGACGCCUGCCCGGUGCCGGAAGGUUAAGAGGAGAGCUUAGCGCAAGCGAAGGUUCGAAUUGAAGCCCCGGUAAACGGCGGCCGUAACUAUAACGGUCCUAAGGUAGCGAAAUUCCUUGUCAGGUAAGUUCUGACCCGCACGAAUGGCGUAAUGAUUUGGGCACUGUCUCAACAGCCCGCCCGGCGAAAUUGUAGUACUGGUGAAGAUGCCAGUUACCCGCAACUAGACGGAAAGACCCCAUGGAGCUUUACUGUAGCCUAAUACUGAAGAUCGGUAAUGCAUGUACAGGAUAGGUGGGAGCCAGCGAAACCCGGGCGUCAGCUCGGAUGGAGGCAACCUUGGAAUACCACCCUUGUAUUGCUGGUUUUCUAACCUGCGGCCAUGAAUCUGGUCGGGGGACACUGUUAGGUGGGCAGUUUGACUGGGGCGGUCGCCUCCAAAAGCGUAACGGAGGCGCUCAAAGGUUGGCUCAGCACGGACGGAAAUCGUGCAUAGAGUGCAAACGCAUAAGCCAACUUGACUGCGAGACCGACGGGUCGAGCAGGUACGAAAGUAGGAGUUAGUGAUCCGGUGGUAUGUGAGUGGAAAUGCCAUCGCUCAACGGAUAAAAGCUACCCUGGGGAUAACAGGCUGAUCUCCCCCAAGCGUCCACAGCGACGGGGAGGUUUGGCACCUCGAUGUCGGCUCGUCACAUCCUGGGGCUGUAUUCGGUCCCAAGGGUUCGGCUGUUCGCCGAUUAAAGUGGCACGCGAGCUGGGUUCAGAACGUCGUGAGACAGUUCGGUCCCUAUCUGUUGCGGGCGCAGGAGAUUUGAAGGGAGCUGUCCUUAGUACGAGAGGACCGGGAUGGACAGACCUCUGGUGCACCAGUUGUCGUGCCAACGGCACAGCUGGGUAGCUACGUCUGGACGAGAUAAACGCUGAAAGCAUCUAAGUGUGAAACUCCCCCUAAGAUAAGAUCUCCCAUCCAUUAGGAGUAAGGGACGACAAAGACUAUGUCGUUGAUAGGUCGGAAGUGUAAGUGCAGUAAUGCAUUGAGCUGACCGAUACUAAUAACCCGAGGGCUUGACCU
rnacentral:rRNA from 1 species